GAUGAACGCUGACAGAAUGCUUAACACAUGUAAGUCUACAAAGAAUCACUUCGGUGAGGAAUGGUGGCGGACGGGUGAGUAACGCGUAAAUAAUCUGCCCUUUAGACUGGGAUGUCCUUUGGAAACGAAGGUUAAUACCGGAUAUUAUGAGAUGGACGCAUGUUCAACUUAUGAAAGCUAAAUGCACUAGAGGAGGAGUUUGCGUCCCAUUAGCUAGUUGGUGAGGUAAAGGCUCACCAAGGCCACGAUGGGUAGCCUGCCUGAGAGGGUGAACGGCCACAAGGGAACUGAGACACGAUCCUUACCCCUCCGGAAGGCAGCAGUGGAGAAUAUUGGACAAUGGACCAACAGUCUGAUCCAGCAAUUCUGUGUGAACGAUGAAGGUCUUCGGAUUGUAAAGUGCUUUCAGUAGGGAAGAAAAAAAUGACGGUGCAUACAGAAGAAGCGACGGCUAAGUAUGUGCCAGCAGCCGCCGCGGUAA
rnacentral:rRNA from 1 species